CUGAAAUUAAAAAGAUAACAACUCUGUUGCUAGAAGUCAGCUCUCUCAAAACUCCGUCUCUCCUUCUUAAAGCCUUAAAAACCUUAGACUCGUCUCUCAAAACCCGUAAGAUCACCAAAAUCAUCUCUAAAGAUUUCGUUCUUCCGAUUUCUUCUUCUAUUGUUGGAGAGACAUGGGUAGCCGUUGGACUGAGUAUGGAUGUUCUUCCUACUACAUAGCUGUUGUCGAAUAUUGCGUUGUUCCUAAAUCUGGUACAAGCUUUGUGGGCUGAUUUUGGUUACAACAGGUCUAGCUAGGGCUUGAACUCCAGAAAUAUUUUGGGAUUCCUCAAUAAACAUUGUCCAACGAAGUAAAUUUUUCUCAUUAUUGACAACGAGGUAGUGAUUUCAUUCCAAGAUAUUUUUUAUGACGUUAUAGUGUGAUUACAAAGUUUUAUUUUUUGAUUGUUAAAUUUUAAAUUUUUUGUUUAUUUGCUUGUUUUAUUCUUUUUCGCUCUUUACUGUCAAUGUAUAAAUUCCAUAUGAGUUGUUACAUAUUAUCACAUCUAACAUCUUAGUGAAUCCAAAUGUAAUGAUAAGGAUACUGUUUCAUGAAUUUGAAUUUUAAAUGUCAAUAUCAGUUUAUGACAUAAUAAUUUUGGAAGGGUCUCUGGAGGAUAUUUGUUUACUUUUUACGGUGUUAAAUGUGAUGGGUACUAGUAAAGCGACAAGAUAAAAGAAUAUUAUAUAAUUUAUGUAGUGAAAUAAGGGUGUUAGUAAUUAAAUUAGGAAUUUUGAACUUCAAAACUUGUACCAAGAAUGAGAUUAUUUUCCAGGGGCUAUAAAAAGAUGUAGCACAGUAUCUAAAAUUUAUCCUGUUCAUUUAAUUGUUUAUAUCUCUAAGUAGGUGAGUAGACAGCAGAGUUAGAGGGCCCCUUACUAAGUUCUGAUUUCUUUUGAUUUUUCUUCGUAAAAAUAAUAUACUAUAUUAUACUUUGUUCUAAUUGUGAGGGUUAUGUUUGAUCAGUUGAUUAAAAUAUUCUUUGUGUUUGGCCACGAUAUUCCCUUUGAGUUAACUUGUAUCUAUUUUCUCAUCUUAGAUUUAACAUUUGCAUUAUCCCAGGAUUUUUAUAAUCUUCUAUCCAUAGAAAUGUAUAAUAUUCUUGUGAAGGAAAUCUCGUUGGUGGUAAGUUAUGUAGAAAUUCUUAGUUUCACCAUUCUUUUCUUGGAUCAUGUAUGUAUGUAUUUGGUGUAUCUCUAGUUAUAUUUCUUAGCUGCUAAUGAAAUCAUGAUUUUGGUUGCUAAUAUAUUUUUCAAUAUCAGUUGCUAUAUUUCAGGAUUAGCUAUUGUUAUCCUUCACCUUGUUUGACUUUUUUGACUUCUUGGGGAAUAUUAGGAGCAAACAUAUGAGUAUGUGGUUAAAUUAGGCUGAGCAACUGUACCUUUUCCCCCCAAAAUAAUAUCAUUAAAGUGUAGAAUACUGUUAUUUGUCAUGACUUGAGUGAUAUUAAAGUUUGUGAAUAAGUUAUAUACCUCAUUUAUCAUAAAUUACUAAAUUAUUAGUUAGGAAGUGUAGUAUUUGAGCAGUGCUAGAAAAGAAAUCUUUUUCUCUAUUUGAGCUGCUAUGUCAUUGUUCAGAAUGUCUUGAUUUCAUUUAUAUGAUUCUCUGUGUAAGGAAAUUACUUUCUUGAAUGAUAUGAACAUGCUGCUUUAAAAGAUAGUAAAUAUGUGGCUCAUUCUUGGUAAGUUAAAUGUAUUCUUGCUAGAGAAAUGGAUAAUUUGGACAUUGCAGGUACUUAUAUGUUAUUCUGAUGUGGUGUUAAUAUGUGCAAGUACAAGGUGAAGGACCAAGUAUAUUCAAAUAGCAAGAAGUUGAACAUAAAGUGCAAAAUUUUUUAACCUUAAUGAAGAUAUGAAGAAUACCGUCAACAACAAUUUUUUUCGACUAACAGAGUCCAUAUGAAGAUGCUACACUAGCAGAAAUUUGCUCCCUCAGAGGCUGUACAGAGUUUAACAACUGCGCCCAGAGUUUGUUUCAGCUGUGCACAGUUUUAGACACUGCUGUAGAGAUUCAAUCUCCAUUGAGUUCAACGACUUGACGUACUCAGUUUUAACAAAAGUUGAGAUUGAUACCAAGUGAAGUUUUCAGGGCGUAGUGGAUGCAGAAAUAAAGAUUUGUUGAAUAUAAAAUCAAGACAAUUUCAUGGUAGAAAAAAAAGAUUUGGCUGAAGGGGAUCAAACCACAACAACAGAACCGACCUCUUAUACUAGACAUUUUUCCUGCAAACAAAAGCUAAUACACAAUUUGUCCAACUCUUUUUCCUUAUUGCUACAGAACUGAGUUAUUCAUUUACAGUUAGUUGUCGGUUGAUCUAAUUUUUGCCUUCAAACUAAUUUUUUCAACUUAUAUUAGUUGAAUUACUCACUUUGGAGUGUAUUAGACAGACUGGUAUAGCGAGAAUAUUUAGAUGGUUAUACUAUGUAAAGUCUAAAUUCAGAAAUAUGUAGGAGGUAAGGUAUAUGUCCCCCUCCUUGUUGACAUGUUAAUAAAAUCUACAGGUCUGUAUGAUUAAUCUUAA